UAUGAAGGGUGCAAGCGUUACUCGGAAUUACUGGGCGUAAAGCGUGCGUAGGUGGUUCGUUAAGUCUGAUGUGAAAGCCCUGGGCUCAACCUGGGAAUUGCAUUGGAUACUGGCGAGCUAGAGUGCGGUAGAGGAUGGCGGAAUUCCCGGUGUAGCAGUGAAAUGCGUAGAGAUCGGGAGGAACAUCUGUGGCGAAGGCGGCGACCUGGAUAGAUACUGACGCUGAGGUGCGAAAGCGUGGGGAGCAAACAGG
rnacentral:rRNA from 1 species